AGAACGAAGACAGCAAUUGGUCAUGUAGCCAAUUGCCAGAGCCUUUCUUGACACCUGGGUGGUAGGGAGCUUUCCAUUUUCACCUACCAGAUCUCCUCUGACAGCGUGAACGGACUAAGACAAUCCGUGGAGAUAAAGCCAGCGCUGUGUCAAGGAGCAGGAGAAAAUGAGCCUGAAGUCAGAGCCAGAGCCUGAUCAUUCCAGGUAUUAUAGAACUAGAGUUUGUGGGGCGCCCGGGUGGCGCAGUCGGUCGAGCGUCCGACUUCAGCCAG